rnacentral:tRNA from 1 species
CGGGGCGUGGCUCAGCUUGGCUAGAGCGCUUGGUUCGGGACCAAGAGGUCGAGAGUUCAAAUCUCUCCGCCCCGA